rnacentral:rRNA from 1 species
AUUGAACGCUGGCGGCAUGCCUUACACAUGCAAGUCGAACGGCAGCACGGGGCAACCUGGUGGCGAGUGGCGAACGGGUGAGUAAUGCAUCGGAACGUACCUUUCAGUGGGGGAUAACGUAGCGAAAGUUACGCUAAUACCGCAUAUUCUGUGAGCAGGAAAGCAGGGGAUCGCAAGACCUUGCGCUGGUUGAGCGGCCGAUGUCAGAUUAGCUAGUUGGUGAGGUAAAGGCUCACCAAGGCGACGAUCUGUAGCGGGUCUGAGAGGAUGAUCCGCCACACUGGAACUGAGACACGGUCCAGACUCCUACGGGAGGCAGCAGUGGGGAAUUUUGGACGAUGGGGGCAACCCUGAUCCAGCCAUGCCGCGUGAGUGAAGAAGGCCUUCGGGUUGUAAAGCUCUUUCGGCCGGGAAGAAAUCGCACGGGCUAAUACCCUGUGUGGAUGACGGUACCGGAAUAAGAAGCACCGGCUAACUACGUGCCAGCAGCCGCAGUAAUAC